rnacentral:rRNA from 1 species
UACGUAGGUGGCAAGCGUGUCCGGAUUUACUGGGCGUAAAGAGCGCGCAGGCGGUCGUUCAAGUCGCGUGUGAAAGCCCCCGGCUCAACUGGGGAGGGUCACGCGAUACUGAUCGACUCGAAGGCAGGAGAGGGAAGUGGAAUUCCCGGUGUAGUGGUGAAAUGCGUAGAUAUCGGGAGGAACACCAGUGGCGAAGGCGACUUCCUGGCCUGUUCUUGACGCUGAGGCGCGAAAGCUAGGGGAGCAAACGGG